UCUCCGUUGGUGAACCAGCGGAGGGAUCAUUACCGAGUUUACAAACUCCCAAACCCUUUGUGAACCUUACCAUAUUGUUGCUUCGGCGGGACCGCCCCGGCGCCUUCGGGCCCGGAACCAGGCGCCCGCCGGAGGACCCCUAAACUCUGUUUCUAUAUGUAACUUCUGAGUAAAACCAUAAAUAAAUCAAAACUUUCAACAACGGAUCUCUUGGUUCUG
rnacentral:misc_RNA from 1 species